rnacentral:rRNA from 1 species
AUUGAACGCUAGCGGGAUGCCUUACACAUGCAAGUCGAACGGAGUUGCGAACGGGUGAGUAAUGUAUCGGAACGUGCCCAGUAGCGGGGGAUAACUACGCGAAAGCGUAGCUAAUACCGCAUACUAUUGGAGCGGCCGAUAGCGGAGUAGCUAGUUGGGGGGGUAACGGCUAACCAAGGCGACGAUCCGUAGCUGGGUUGAGAGGCCGACCAGCCACACUGGAACUGAGACACGGCCCAGACUCCUACGGUAGGCAGCAGUAGGGAAUCUUGGACAAUGGGGGAAACCCUGAUGCAGCCAUCCCGCGUGUGUGAUGAAGGCCUUCGGGUUGUAAAGCACUGUUGGCAGGGAAGCGGUACCUGCAGAAAAAGCACCGGCUAACUACGUGCCAGCAGCCGCGGUAAUAC